GGAAUAUAUAUCGCUGUUGUUGUUGUUGCUGUUGCUGUUGUUGUUCUGCUGCUCGUUAUGUACAGGUGCCAUGAUAGAAGGGGAGACCCUGUGAUGCAGGACAGUGAUCAGAAUCAUUCUGGAGAUUUUUCCCCUAAUCAAUCUGAAGCUCUGCCGAUGAACGGGACGCCCUCUAGUCAGUCUGAGACACAUACUGCCAAUGAGAUGUCACAGUAACAGUAGUGUUUUGAUUGUUUCAUAUGAAGAGAACAUAAAGAGAAGAUUGGAAAUGAGAGAAGAGCAUCAGCUGAAACUCACAACAUUCAUAAACACAAUACCAUGAUUCCAGUAUUAGGUAGGAAUUGCACCUAAUUCAAACUAGUUUGCAAUAUAAUUUAUAAUUAUUAUAAUUUAUAAUUCAAUUAUUAAGUGAUUUAAUAAUUUAAAUCUAUAUUUAAAUAAUGUAGGUUG